rnacentral:rRNA from 1 species
AGUCAUAUGCUUGUCUCAAAGAUUAAGCCAUGCAUGUCUAAGUAUAAGCGACUAUACUGUGAAACUGCGAAUGGCUCAUUAAAUCAGUUAUGGUUUAUUUGAUGGUACCUACUACUUGGAUAACCGUAGUAAUUCUAGAGCUAAUACAUGCAGGAAGACCCGACUUCGGAAGGGUUGUAUUUAUUAGAUAAGAAACCAAACCAGCUUGCUGGUUGCGUGCUGAGUCACAAUAACUGCUCGAAUCGCAUGGCUUUACGCCGGCGAUGGUUCAUUCAAAUUUCUGCCCUAUCAGCUUUCGAUGGUAGGAUCGAGGCCUACCAUGGCGUUUACGGGUAACGGAGAAUUAGGGUUCGAUUCCGGAGAGGGAGCCUGAGAGAUGGCUACCACAUCCAAGGAAGGCAGCAGGCGCGUAAAUUGCCCGAAUCCUGACACAGGGAGGUAGUGACAAGAAAUAACAAUACAGGGCUACAUCUAGUCUUGUAAUUGGAAUGAGUACAAUUUACAUCUCUUAACGAGGAUCAAU